CACUUCUAAGGAAGGCAGCAGGCGCGCAAAUUACCCAAUCCUGACUCAGGGAGGUAGUGACAAGAAAUAACAAUAAACCGGCUUAUGCCGGUUUAAUUGGAAUGAGUACAAUUUAAACAUCUUAACGAGGAACAAUUGGAGGGCAAGUCUGGUGCCAGCAGCCGCGGUAAUUCCAGCUCCAAUAGCGUAUACUAAAGUUGUUGCAGUUAAAAAGCUCGUAGUUGGAUUUCUGUGGGGACGGAGCGGCCGGCCGCAACACGCGGUUCGAGCUAGCGCUUUCCCUACAUCCUGCCGCGAACCGUGCUACCAUUAGUUUGGUGGCGCCGGGGAUCGGCUCGAUUACUUUGAGAAAAAUAGAGUGUUCAAAGCAGGCCACACGCCUUGAAUAAGUUAGCAUGGAAUAAUAACUAAGGACUUCGGUUCUAUUUUGUUGGUGUUCGGGACUGAAGUAAUGAUUGAUAGGGACAGUUGGGGCGGUCUGUAUUCCAAAGCGAGAGGUGAAAUUCUUAGACCUUCGGAAGACAAACAGCUGCGAAAGCGUUCCGCAAGGAUGUUCCCUUUGAUCAAGAACGAAAGUUGGGGGAUCGAAGACGAUCAGAUACCGUCGUAGUCUCAACUAUAAACUAUACCAGCUAGGGAUCGGCCAACGUUAUUCUAUACCGACUUGGUCGGCACCUUAUGAGAAAUCAAAGCAUCUGGGUUCCGGGGGGAGUAUGGUCGCAAGGCUGAAACUUAAAGGAAUUGACGGAAGGGCACCACCAGCCGUGGAGCCUGUGGCUUAAUUUGACUCAACACGGGAAAACUUACCAGGUCCAGACAUAGUAAGGAUUGACAGAUUGAUAGCUCUUUCUUGAUUCUGUGGGUGGUGGUGCAUGGCCGUUCUUAGUUGGUGGAGUGAUUUGUCUGGUUAAUUCCGUUAACGAACGAGACCCCAGCCUGCUAAAUAGCGCGCGUGAGCUUUGCUCGCGGCGAGCUUCUUAGAGGGACUAUGAUGCGCGAUAGCACAUGGAAGUUUGGGGCAAUAACAGGUCUGUGAUGCCCUUAGAUGUUCUGGGCCGCACACGGGCUACACUGGCGCCUGCAACGAGCAUAUCAGCUGGCCCGAGAGGGUCUUGGCUAAUCUUUUGAACCGGCGCCGUGCUUGGGAUUGACCUUUGCAAUUGUUGGUCAUGCAACGAGGAAUGCCUUGUAAACGCGAGUCAUCAGCUCGCAUUGAAUACGUCCCUGCCCUUUGUACACACCGCCCGUCGCUCCUACCGAUGAAUGUUCCGAUGAAAUUUUCGGAGAGUGCCUGUGAACUUGGCUCUGCCUUGCGAACGGGAAGCUCAAAGUCACUUAAAUCUGAACAUUU
rnacentral:rRNA from 1 species